CACGUAGGGCGCAAGCGUUGUCCGGAAUUAUUGGGCGUAAAGAGCUCGUAGGCGGUCUGUUGCGUCCGCUGUGAAAACUCGGGGCUUAACCCCGAGCCUGCAGUGGAUACGGGCAGACUAGAGGUAGGUAGGGGAGAAUGGAAUUCCCGGUGUAGCGGUGAAAUGCGCAGAUAUCGGGAGGAACACCAGUGGCGAAGGCGGCCGGCUGGGGGUGCCCUGACGCUGAGGCGCGAAAGCGUGGGGAGCGAACCGG
rnacentral:rRNA from 1 species